GCGGACGGGUUAGUAACGCGUGGGAACAUACCCUUUUCUACGGAAUAGCCUCGGGAAACUGAGAGUAAUACCGUAUACGCCCUUCGGGGGAAAGAUUUAUCGGAGAAGGAUUGGCCCGCGUUUGAUUAGAUAGUUGGUGGGGUAAUGGCCUACCAAGUCUACGAUCAAUAGCUGGUUUGAGAGGAUGAUCAGCAACACUGGGACUGAGACACGGCCCAGACUCCUACGGGAGGCAGCAGUGGGGAAUCUUAGACAAUGGGCGCAAGCCUGAUCUAGCCAUGCCGCGUGAGUGACGAAGGCCUUAGGGUCGUAAAGCUCUUUCGCCAGAGAUGAUAAUGACAGUAUCUGGUAAAGAAACCCCGGCUAACUCCGUGCCAGCAGCCGCGGUAAUACGGAGGGGGUUAGCGUUGUUCGGAAUUACUGGGCGUAAAGCGUACGUAGGCGGAUUAGAAAGUAGGGGGUGAAAUCCCAGGGCUCAACCCUGGAACUGCCUCCUAAACUACUAGUCUAGAGUUCGAGAGAGGUGAGUGGAAUUCCAAGUGUAGAGGUGAAAUUCGUAGAUAUUUGGAGGAACACCAGUGGCGAAGGCGGCUCACUGGCUCGAUACUGACGCUGAGGUACGAAAGUGUGGGGAGCAAACAGGAUUAGAUACCCUGGUAGUCCACACCGUAAACGAUGAAUGCCAGACGUCGGGGGGCUUGCCCUUCGGUGUCACACCUAACGGAUUAAGCAUUCCGCCUGGGGAGUACG
rnacentral:rRNA from 1 species